AUACGUAGGUCCCGAACGUUGCGCGAAAUUACUGGGCGUAAAGGGUCCGUAGGCGGUCUGGUAAGUGGAAGGUGAAAGCCUGGGGCUCAACUCCAGAAUUGCCUUCCAAACUGCCGGACUUGAGGCAGGGAGAGGUCGGCGGAAUUCCCGGUGUAGUGGUGAAAUGCGUAGAUAUCGGGAGGAACACCAGUGGCGAAGGCGGCCGACUGGAACUGUCCUGACGCUGAGGGACGAAAGCCAGGGGAGCGAACCGCAUUAGAUACCCGAGUAGUCC
rnacentral:rRNA from 1 species